rnacentral:lncRNA from 1 species
GUCUUUCUUCUCUGGGCGCCCACCAACAAUGGAUGGCAACUCCCUGCUCUCGGUACCAAGACUUCCAAAGACCCUUAUCACUACCUAACAACAUAUUCCUGGAUGUAUUGAUAUGACGAUGAAGUUGGAAGAAGGGAGAAAUGAGUCUCACCCUGACCAGUUGUGCAAGUAGUCAGGAGAUAUAAAAAGGCAGGAAGCAUCUGAAGAGUUUCUCAUUCUGGAGAUCAACCUGUUUCUCCAACCUCAUUUGUUUGGAAGGAAAGUACACAGAAGCAGCAAACCUCAGCCUCUGAAGGGGCCCAACUCCUGACUCUACAUGGCUCAAGGGUUAUUUCUUAGCAAAGAAUAUGUAUAGGUUACAACCAACAUCUAUCAAAAAUAAAAACAAAGCAAAUUCCUAGUAA